rnacentral:lncRNA from 10 species
CAGGCACAUACCAUCAUGCCCAGGAGAAUUCCAUGCAUGGAGAUUCAAAUAAAGACAAAAGGGAGAUGCAACUAUGGAGGCUGAGAAGUCCCACCAUCGGAGCGCCUCUGCCCCGCCGCCCCAUCUGGGAUGUGAGGAGCGCCUCUGCCCGGCCGAGACCCCGUCUGGGAGGUGAGGAGCGUCUCUGCCCGGCCGCCCCGUCUGAGAAGUGAGGAGACCCUCUGCCUGGCAACCACCCCGUCUGAGAAGUGAGGAGCCCCUCCGCCCGGCAGCUGCCCCGUCUGAGAAGUGAGGAGCCUCUCCGCCCGGCAGCCACCCCAUCUGGGAAGUGAGGAGCGUCUCCGCCCGGCAGCCACCCCGUCCGGGAGGGAGGUGGGGGGGGGUCAGCCCCCCGCCCGGCCAGCCGCCCCAUCCGGGAGGGAGGUGGGGGGUCAGCCCCCCCGCCCGGCCAGCCGUGCCAUCCGGGAGGGAGGUGGGGGGGUCAGCCCCCCGCCUGGCCAGCCGUGCCGUCCGGGAGGGAGGUGGGGGGGUCAGCCCCCCGUCCGGCCAGCCGCCCCGUCCGGGAGGUGAGGGGCGCCUCUGCCCGGCCGCCCCUACUGGGAAGUGAGGAGCCCCUCAGCCCGGCCAGCCACCCCGUCCGGGAGGGAGAUGGGGGGGUCAGCCCCCCCACCCGGCCAGCCGCCCCGUCCGGGAGGGAGGUAGGGGGGUCAGCCCCCCGCCUGGCCAGCCGCCCCGUCCGGGAGGGAGGUGGGGGGGUCAGCCCUCCGCCCGGCCAGCCGCCCCGUCUGGGAGGUGAGGGGCGCCUCUGCCCAGCCGCCCCUACUGGGAAGUGAGG